ACAAAAUAAGUAAAAACUUUCAACAACGGAUCUCUUGGUUCCAGCAUCGAUGAAGAACGCAGCGAAAUGCGAUAAGUAAUGUGAAUUGCAGAAUUCAGUGAAUCAUCGAAUCUUUGAACGCACAUUGCGCCCCUCGGUAUUCCGGGGGGCAUGCCU
rnacentral:rRNA from 1 species